CCUUUCUCAAGUGGCCGAUCAAGGGACACUGGGCUUAUGCUCGUGACCCGACCGCCCCCGCCUUUGGGAUUUUUUCCUCUGUUUGCCGAAAAGGAGAUUCCCUGUCAGAAUAUUAUCGCUUUUCUACGAGAAAAAUGUCGUGAAAAUUGAUUUUAAACAGCGGUUGACAUGCUUCGAAGUACGGUAAUGGAAUAUUUAGAAUUUUAUUGUCACGAAUUGCGCCAUGCGCGCGACACUUCUUUACUAUUUCGGAUAGUGUCUGGAACGCACGAACAAAACGCCGCUAUUCGGAUAUAACGAUGGAUUAUUUUGGACCAAACCAACAUUUGUUAUUGAAGUAGCAGUCCUGGGUGUGCAUUCUGACGAAGACAACAAAAGGCCCACCCCUCCUCCCCAUGUCAUCGAUGGCCAUCCGGCGUACACGGUGAGACACCACCUGAGAGUUCGACCACGGGACAGGGUUUUCCAGUACCUUGUUGACUGGGAGGGUUAUGGCCCGGAGGAGAAGUGCUGGGUCCCCGCUAGACACAUCCUGGACCCAACCCUCAUCGCCGACUUCCACUGCCAGCACCCCGGUCAACCAGGUAUGCGCCCAGUUACAGUCUUGUCCCAUCGCUCCAACUCCUGUAUGGACUCAGGAGAGGUGAAGGUUGAGAGCCGUGUGUCCUACAAAACACAACCCAGCCAAGCCACACUGCUUCUUGACAUAAUGCCCGCUUAACCCGGAAGCCAGCCGCACCAACGUGUCAGAGGAAACACCGUACACCGUGUCAAUGUGCACUGCGCCCGGCCCGCCACAGGGGUUGAGCGUGAUGGGACAAGAGCAUGGUGGGACAAGAACAUCCCUGCCGCCAAACCCUGCCCUAAACUGGACGACGCUGGGCCAAUUGUACGUCACCCCAUGGGUCUCCUGGUCGAGGCCGGCUGCAACAGAGCCUGGACUCAAACCAGGAUCUCUAGUGGCACAACUAGCACUGCGGUGCAGUGCCUUAGACCACUGCGCCACUCGGGAGGCCCCUCCAAUAAUUAUUUUAGCCUUUAUAAAUGCAUUUCAUGCAAUUAUUCGUCAUUUUACAUUUUGGCAUAAUUUUUUUAAAUGUUGCAUUCAAAACAACUGGGAACUUGGAGCUGGGAAAUCUUUGACUUCAGUGCUUUCAAGACAACUGGGAAAUCGGGAAAAAACUAGCUCCGAUUGGGAAAAUUAGCUUUGGACUGUCAUCCAUCUCGGAAUUUCAAGUGGGG
rnacentral:lncRNA from 1 species